rnacentral:rRNA from 1 species
GAUAAACGCUGGCGGCGCACAUAAGACAUGCAAGUCGAACGGAAGUCGUUGUAAUGAUGUUGACAUGAACAGAGAACUUGUUCAAAGGGAGUGAAGAUUGACUUACAACAAUGGCUUUAGUGGCGGACUGGUGAGUAACACGUAAGCAACCUGCCUAUCAGAGGGGAACAACAGUUAGAAAUGACUGCUAAUACCGCAUAUGCCUUAGCAACACAUGUUGCAAAAGGGAAAGGAGCAAUCCGCUGAUAGAUGGGCUUGCGUCUGAUUAGAUAGUUGGUGGGUAACGGCCUACAAGUCGACGAUCAGUAGCCGGACUGAGAGGUUGAACGGCCACAUUGGGACUGAGAUACGGCCCAGACUCCUACGGGAGGCAGCAGUCGGGAAUAUUGCGCAAUGGAGGAAACUCUGACGCAGUGACGCCGCGUGCAGGAAGAAGGUUUUCGGAGUUGUAAACUUUUGUCG